rnacentral:lncRNA from 1 species
UCGUUUCCACUUCGUCUACACCACAAGGCAGCUGUGAGUUCGCUAAUAGAGUGGUCUGGUUUCAGGGUUCUAGAACCUUCCCUCUACUCUCCCAGAUCCCAUCCACUGUAAAGCCACGGAGCCUACAAUUUAUGGCAUUUUCACGCAACUGUAAAUGAAACUGUCUGGAAAUCACAUCGGCGCCUGCUUUGUCUUUGUACCCUACUGGGUGUCCAGGCUACAGGCUUUCACUGGGCCAUCAGCAGAGGGUGGAUUCCCUCAGGAUCUCAUCAGAGUCCUGGGGGUAAGGACUGAAACCAUCUCCCAGGAGGACGAAGCUCUAGCAUUCUGGACAGCUGACCAAGGACCCAUCCCUAACAAUCACCAAGUCCUUUCUUAUUUAUCUUGUUUUUUUGGUUUUGUUCUUUUGAGACAUCUUCUCACUAUG